AAUGUUAUUUGUGAAUAAGAGAGAUCGGUCACUAAGAUUAUAUGUAAAUUAUCGAGAAUUGAAUAAGGUGAUUGUUAAGAAUAAGUUGUUAGAUAAUUGCGUGCGAUUAAGCAUAGUAAAAAAAGAAAAAUCAAACAAAUUUGAUUUUUAAAACUCGAGAUACGAUUUUUAAAACCACGCUAAUAGGAUCCGUCAUGUUGUUUAAGAUUAAAGAAGAAAAAGUAAGAUAUAAUCUUCACCUUUGCACGAAUGGAUCUUCACCGCAAUCUGAUGACCGUGGAAUU
rnacentral:lncRNA from 1 species